rnacentral:lncRNA from 1 species
AGUGAGACUGAAGUGACCAGCACAAGUGGAAAACCAUGCUGGGUAAUGGUUACCCAGUGAAAAGUUAUAGUUUUGGAUAUGAAAAUUCUGAAGUUCACUUUGGCUAUCCUGCUUUGCCAGAAGAUUGUAACAGAAUGAUAUGCUUGUGACCAAUCGAAGGCACUCUUGGGUGCUGGUGUGGAGUCGUGGAUACUGCUGGAACCAUUUAUGCAAGACUGGACAAUGGCCUAGCUGACAAAAGCCUUUGUGUGUGUCUUAACAGACUGGCCCUAACAUAAAAAGAAGAAAAAAAACUAAAAAAAAAAAAAACUGGAAAAAAAAAA